CGCGUAGAACAUGACGACGUUGAUGCCGGUGAGCUGCUGCAGCGUCGGGAUCAGCACCGAUAUCACCAGCUGCAGCCUGUACGAGAAGGGGGAGCGCCGCGUUGGCGACGACACGGCGGCGACCACGCGGGAGGUCGCCGGGGCGAGGCGGGAGAGGAGGAGGGCGGAGCGGCGGCGGCAGUUGCGCCCGCCGCACUGGCCUGCCGGAGGACCGGGCGAGCGGUUGGCAGAGCGGGCGGUGGCUCGGAGAGCGGCCGGCAAAGGUUUAGCUAGUCCUCGCCUCCUCCGCCGCCUCGCCGCCGACCCGGUCUCCGGUGAUGGGGAAGCGCGCGCCACGCUGGCUCCCUCCUACUCCCCCUACUUCGAGUCCCAGCUCUGCUGCCUCAUCACCGACGCCGGCCUCUCCGCCUCCUUCGCCGAGGACGUCGCCAUCGCCAUCCGCUGCCGCUUCCCCGAGUUCCGC
rnacentral:lncRNA from 1 species